GAUGAACGCUGGCGGCGUGCCUAAUACAUGCAAGUCGAACGCUGGAAAUCUAGCUUGCUAGAUUGAAGGAGUGGCGAACGGGUGAGUAAUACAUAAGCAACCUACCCACGAAGGCUGUGAUAAUCGCUGGAAACGGGGACUAAUGCCUGAUUGCUAAUCGGAAAGCAUCUUCUGAUGAUUAAAUGUGAGAAACACUGGUGGAUGGGCUUAUGUCGCAUUGGUUGGGUGGUGAGGUAACGGCCGACCGAGACGAUGAUGCGUAGGCGGACUGGGGGGAGGAGAGGCCACAUGGGGACUGGGACACGGGGCAGUCUGCUACGGGAGGGAGCAGUAGGGAAGUCAGAGGAAUGGGAGAAAGCAUGACCGAGCCAAGCCGGGUGAGGCAAGACCGCGUGCGGGUUGUAAAGCUCUGUUGUAAAGGAAGAAUGGUAGAUAGAGAAUACGUAAAUGACGGUACCUGAACAGAAAGCAACGGCUAACUACGUG
rnacentral:rRNA from 1 species